GCUGGGCGUGGUGGCGUGCGCCUGUAAUCUAGCUACUUGGAGGCCAGGGUGCGGGAUUUCGUGGGACCGGGAGUUCUGGCAUAUGGGUGCUCAUGUUGAUCGGGCGUCCACGCUAAGCACGGCGCCGAUAUGGAUGACCUGUCGGAGGAUGGGUUGUCCAGGUCGUCUAAGGAGGGGCGGACCGGCCCAGGGGG
rnacentral:SRP_RNA from 1 species